UGGGGAAUUUUGGACAAUGGGCGCAAGCCUGAUCCAGCAAUGCCGCGUGAGUGAAGAAGGCCUUCGGGUUGUAAAGCUCUUUUGUCAGGGAAGAAACGGCUGAGGCUAAUAUCCUCGGCUAAUGACGGUACCUGAAGAAUAAGCACCGGCUAACUACGUGCCAGCAGCCGCGGUAAUACGUAGGGUGCAAGCGUUAAUCGGAAUUACUGGGCGUAAAGCGUGCGCAGGCGGUUUUGUAAGUCUGACGUGAAAUCCCCGGGCUCAACCUGGGAAUUGCGUUGGAGACUGCAAGGCUGGAGUCUGGCAGAGGGGGGUAGAAUUCCACGUGUAGCAGUGAAAUGCGUAGAGAUGUGGAGGAACACCGAUGGCGAAGGCAGCCCCCUGGGUCAAGACUGACGCUCAUGCACGAAAGCGUGGGGAGCAAACAGGAUUAGAUACCCUGGUAGUCCACGCCCUAAACGAUGUCUACUAGUUGUCGGGUCUUAAUUGACUUGGUAACGCAGCUAACGCGUGAAGUAGACCGCCUGGGGAGUACGGUCGCAAGAUUA
rnacentral:rRNA from 1 species